UCACAAAGAAAGUAAAUGUAAUGAGGUAUUACAUUUGUGGUAGGUGACUGUUAUUGCGUUUGUGGGAUUAUUACAUUAAAAGCUGCAAAUUUUUACUACGUUUGUGGGAGUUAUUACGUUUGUGCGGUUAACACUGACCCCUAAACAUGUAAAACUAUUUUUGUGGCAUUGUCUCUGCCUAACUUUUCCUAAGUGAUUUGUCACCAUUUACUACAAUAUC